AAAAGUGGGAAGAAAAAAAAAAGUGGAUGAAUGCAAAACCAAUGAAUUUAUGUGAGCGUGGUUAUUGUUUGCCUUCCGGUCAUCAGGAUAACACCAGGGUAACACUUGCACUGUGUGCUUUGCUCGAUAAAUGUGCUGCUUUGCUCAGGCCUGGCUGGUCUUCUGACUGCCAGCAGUGCAGAUAGCAGGUGCUUCCUGACCUUGGUGUGGGGGUGAGGUUUGGUUGCUGUGGUUUAGAAGACUCUCAUAAAGAAAGGGUAGAAGAUUCAAAACAAAGUAGUUACUUACUAUGGAUACAAGUUAACUGGAGGUGAAAUUUUGCUCCUCCUACAAUGACCUGAUUUCUCUAAAAUCAAGUAUCUGCCAAAGCUCCUGUGAGGUUUUGAGGGAAUCCAGGAUGGCAGUUUCAGUGCCUUAUCCAAACAUGUAUUGGAAAAGGACCAGAGAAAUGGUGACAGCAGAUUCAGGUGUCCAGAUCACAGAAAAGCCUGCUAUGAUUGACACUAAUUGGCAGCCCUGCUGGCGGAUUCUGGAAUGCAAUUUGAAGACGGACUGGAUCAAGAGGAUGAAGUAAUGUGUUCACCUAGGAUCAGAGAUCUGGUAUAUCUGAUCAUCAGCAAAAACUCCUGUCUACAAUUCCUUCUUUUAGGACUUCUGGCCCUCACACUGGAAAUUAAUUUAAAACAAAUUAAAGAAAGAUGAAAAUACUUGUGAUCAUUUAUCCUUUUAAUUAAAUUAGAAGACUUGAGAGAAUGUUUGUGGUCAUUUGUGACCACUUACGCUUUUCAAUUGUAAAUUAAUGGGAAAUACGUUCCCAGAGUCAUCUGCAGCUAGUCCCAUGAGCCAUAUUACUCACUGUUUUUUCAGAGAGCAUCAGUGAAUGUGGGCUGGGAUAAUCUGAUGGACAAAUACUACAUUAGACUGCAACUUAGGAAAAAUAAAUUCUUCUCCAAAUACAAUGCAUUUUUCCAUAUAUCCUAAUAAGCUGCAAAGGCUCUACAAUGAGUUAUGUGCCACAGACCAAGGAACUUUUUCAUGAUGAAUCUCAGUUUGUAGACCUCUGAUAAAUCUAUUCUAUUAUACCUUGCUUAUGAAAGUUGCAUAGGAAAAAAGAAAAAAAAAAAAAUAGAACGCUGUGUAUAAACACUACAUAAGUGCCUUAUGAUUUCUCAUUUCCACCUUGAUCAACCCUUACGGAGCAAUUCUUUUCAGUCGUAAGAACCA